CACUACAACGGGUGGAGCCUGCGGUUUAAUUGGACUCAACGCCGGACAACUCACCGGGGGCGACAGCAAUAUGUAGGUCAAGCUAAAGACUUUACCUGAAUCGCUGAGAGGAGGUGCAUGGCCGUCGUCAGUUCGUACUGUGAAGCAUCCUGUUAAGUCAGGCAACGAGCGAGACCCGUGCCCACUGUUGCCAGCAUAUCCUUUUUGGAUGAUGGGUACUCUGUGGGGACCGCCGAUGCUAAAUCGGAGGAAGGUGCGGGCUACGGUAGGUCAGUAUGCCCCGAAUCUCCCGGGCUACACGCGGGCUACAAUGGUUGGGACAAUGGGCUCCUACACUGAAAAGUGACGGUAAUCUCAUAAACCCAGCCGUAGUUCGAAUUGAGGGCUGAAACCCGCCCUCAUGAAGCUGGAAUCCGUAGUAAUCGCGUUUCAAUAUAGCGCGGUGAAUACGUCCCUGCUCCUUGCACACACCGCCCGUCAAACCACCCGAGUGAGGUAUGGGUGAGGGCGCGGACUUUAGUGCUGCGUUCGAACCUAAAUUUCGCAAGGGGGGUU
rnacentral:rRNA from 1 species